AAAAUGACCGGGAAAAUCUGACAGGACUGAGAAGAGGAUAACGGCACAGCGGGGUUUUAGAAGUCAGCGAAUGGAUGGAUUAUCCAGUCAAGGUACAGAAUGAAAGACUUGACUGAGUUAGAAGAAGCUGGGCGACUCUUCAGAGUGAAGAUGUUAUGUGCCUGCUUUCGAACCACACCCGUGGAGAUAUCUGCCAACAAAUGGACAAUCAUUCAUGGGGCUACAGAUGGGGCUGCAUUCAAGAAUUUUCAAUAUGCAGUUAUGUCAAAGCACUCGUUUCGGCUGGCCAGAUUGGAACAGACCUGAAUGGGAAGAUGGCAGAGCUAAGACUGACAAUGUCCAGGAAAAAUGUUAACUAAAAAUGAGUGUGUGUUUCCUCAGCGAGUGAGUUUGGGAAUGUUUUAAAUGUGCCUAAAAGUUUGAAAAUGUAAUCCUGAGGGAAAAAAGUGAGCGCUUUGAAAAGGCUUUAAAAAGAAAAUAAAGUCUGAAGUUGAUGGUAAAUGAAUUUAAAGUUUUUACUUGAAAAGUUUGUACUUGUUUGUACUUGUCAAGUCUGUGCUGAAAAAAAUGGAGUAAAGUUUGUAUUUGAAAAGACUUGGAAUUGUGUGUUCUGUAGAAUGAGUACACAUAUAUGUGCAGGCUGUAUAAAAAACAUAGU